rnacentral:rRNA from 1 species
AGAGUUUGAUCCUGGCUCAGAUUGAACGCUGGCGGCAUGCUUUACACAUGCAAGUCGAGCGGCAGCGCGGGGGCAACCCUGGCGGCGAGCGGCGAACGGGUGAGUAACACAUCGGAACGUAUCCCGUAGAGGGGGAUAGCCCGGCGAAAGCCGGAUUAAUACCGCAUAUGCUCUACGGAGGAAAGCAGGGGACCUGGUAACGGGCCUUGCGCUAUGGGAGCGGCCGAUGUCCGAUUAGCUUGUUGGCGGGGUAAUGGCCCACCAAGGCGACGAUCGGUAGCUGGUCUGAGAGGAUGAUCAGCCACACUGGGACUGAGACACGGCCCAGACUCCUACGGGAGGCAGCAGUGGGGAAUUUUGGACAAUGGGGGAAACCCUGAUCCAGCCAUGCCGCGUGAGUGAAGAAGGCCUUCGGGUUGUAAAGCUCUUUUGGUCGGAAAGAAGGAGUUCGGGUGAAUAACCUGGAUUUUGAC